rnacentral:tRNA from 2 species
GCGUUUGUAACUCAAUUGGAUAGAGUGUCGGGUUUCGGUUCCGAAAGUUGUGGGUUCAAUUCCUAUCAAACGUA